rnacentral:rRNA from 1 species
UACGUAGGCAGCGAGCGUUGUUCGGAGUUACUGGGCGUAAAGGGUGUGUAGGCGGUUUUCUAAGUUUGGUGUGAAAUCUCCCGGCUCAACCGGGAGGGUGCGCCGAAAACUGGGAGACUAGAGUGCGGGAUGGGAGAGUAGAAUUCCUGGUGUAGCGGUGAAAUGCGCAGAUAUCAGGAGGAACACCGGUGGCGAAGGCGGCACUCUGGGCCGGUACUGACGCUGAGUAGCGAAAGCGUGGGGAGCGAACAGG